rnacentral:lncRNA from 1 species
AUGGAAUCAUAGAUAUUGAGUGUGGUUGUAUUGUGUGCGAUGUCUUAUCCAUGAUUGUAGGAUUAUCUUGAUCAUUAGAUAAUGGAUUAUGCUAGUGUUUUUUUUUUACAAAUGAUGUAGGGACGGAGUCUGGAUCGAAGUUAUUGGAUUCCAAACCUAAUGUGUAGAGUACAGGAUGAAGAGUGUCGUUUUGUUUUAAUUGAAUGGAAUAUGUAGAAUUGAUGGUAGCAUAGAUAUUGAGUAUGGUUGUAUUGUGUGCGAUGUCUUGUCCAUGAUUGUAGGAUUAUCUUGAUCAUUGGAUAAUGGAUUAUGCUAGUGUUUCCUUGUGCAUGAUCGUUUUGUUAUGGAAUUGGUUGCUUGUUAAGUAUGUCCAAUAUGAAAAAAAAAAAAUGGGGUGUUACACAUGAUGACUACUAUAACAACAAUAAAUGUGGUGUUGGUAGAGUACAAUAUUGGGUGGGUGAGGGGGAGGGG